rnacentral:rRNA from 1 species
GAUGAACGCUGGCGGCGUGCCUAAUACAUGCAAGUCGAACGGGGAGUACUAAUUUCGGUUUUUACUCCUAGUGGCGAACGGGUGAGUAACGCGUUGGUGACCUGCCCCGAAGCGGGGGAUAACAGUCCGAAAGGGCUGCUAAUACCCCAUGUGGUCGUACAGGUUAGAGGCUGAACGACUGAAGGAGCAAUCCACUUCGGGAGGGGCCUGCGUCCCAUCAGCUAGUUGGUAAGGUAACGGCCUACCAAGGCGAUGACGGGUAGGGGACCUGAGAGGGUGGUCCCCCACACUGGCACUGAAACACGGGCCAGACACCUACGGGUGGCAGCAGUAGGGAAUAUUGCACAAUGGGCGAAAGCCUGAUGCAGCAACGCCGCGUGCGCGAAGAAGGCCUUCGGGUUGUAAAGCGCUUUUCUGGAGGAAGAGGAAGGACGGUACUCCAGGAAUAAGGAUCGGCUAACUACGUG